rnacentral:rRNA from 1 species
AGUGAACGCUGGCGGUAGGCCUAACACAUGCAAGUCGAACGGCAGCACAGUAAGAGCUUGCUCUUACGGGUGGCGAGUGGCGGACGGGUGAGGAAUACAUCGGAAUCUACUUUUUCGUGGGGGAUAACGUAGGGAAACUUACGCUAAUACCGCAUACGACCUACGGGUGAAAGCAGGGGAUCUUCGGACCUUGCGCGAUUGAAUGAGCCGAUGUCGGAUUAGCUAGUUGGCGGGGUAAAGGCCCACCAAGGCGACGAUCCGUAGCUGGUCUGAGGGGAUGAUCAGCCACACUGGAACUGAGACACGGUCCAGACUCCUACGGGAGGCAGCAGUGGGGAAUAUUGGACAAUGGGCGCAAGCCUGAUCCAGCCAUACCGCGUGGGUGAAGAAGGCCUUCGGGUUGUAAAGCCCUUUUGUUGGGAAAGAAAAGCAGCAGGUUAAUACCCCGCUGUUCUGACGGUACCCAAAGAAUAAGCACCUGCUAACUUCGUG